UAAGUAUACCGGAAGGUGUGCUUGGAGCCGAAAUGUAGUCUAACUAAAACAACUUGCUUACACCAAGUUAAUGCCCGUGAAACCCGCGCCAUUUCGAGCCUAAACUUUAGCCCCACCACCUUAAUGCAAACUACACAAUAAUAUAAAUGCACCUAAAACAUUCUCAUAUUUUAGUAGAGGCGAUCGAAAAAUUCUAAGGAGCUAUAAAGCCAGUACCGCAAGGGAAUAAUGAAAUAGAAAUGAAAUAACAUCAAAGCACAUAAAAGUAGAGCCUAACCCUCGUACCUUUUGCAUCAUGGUCUAGCAAGUCUAAUCAAGCAAAACGUCUUAUAGUUUGACUUCCCGAAACCAAGCGAGCUACUUCAAGGCAGCCUUUAGGGCCCACCCGUCUCUGUAGCAAAAGAGUGGGAUGACCUUCAAGUAGGGGUGAUAGACCUAACGAGCUUGGUGAUAGCUGGUUGCUUAGAAAACGGAUCUUAGUCCACCCUUAAACCUCACCCCAACCUUUACAAGUGACCUAAAAGUUUAAGAGUCAUUCAGAUAAGGUACAGCUUAUCUGAACCAGGACACAACCUCAACAAAAGGGUAAUAUUAUAUUAACGUGAAAAAGUAGGCUUAAAAGCAGCCACCUUAACAAAAAGCGUCACAGCUUAAACACACUACAACCCAAAUUCCAAACCCCAUACAGAACCCUUAUUCCUUACUAAGCAGUUCUAUAUUUUUAUAGAAACACUUAUGCUAGAACUAGUAACAAGAAGACAGCCUUCUCUUAAAUACAAGUGUAAAUCAAAAUGGACCCCCCACUGAUACUUAACGCCUUUGACCCUCUAGUAAUAACAACCCCAAGAAAACCCUACUAAAACCAACGUUAAUCUAACACAAGAGUAUUACAAGAAAGAUUUAAAGAAAAGGAAGGAACUCGGCAAACAUUAACCUCGCCUGUUUACCAAAAACAUCGCCUCUUGAAAAUACAAGAGGUCCAGCCUGCCCAGUGACUCUGUUCAACGGCCGCGGUAUUCUGACCGUGCGAAGGUAGCGUAAUCACUUGUUCUUUAAAUAAGGACUAGUAUGAAUGGCACCACGAGGGUUAUACUGUCUCCCUUUUCUAAUCAGUUAACCUAAUCUCCCCGUGAAGAAGCGGGGAUAUUUUUAUAAGACGAGAAGACCCCAUGGAGCUUCAAACAAACAGCACCUGCUAGCCCACAUUUACUUCAUUAAGCCAAGCAUCCUGACUGCUAGUUUUCGGUUGGGGCGACCACGGAGAACAACCCACCCUCCGCGUUGGAAGAAGGCCUCUUCUUAACCUCAAGCCACACCUUUAAGUACCAAUAACUUGACAACUAUUGACCCAAUAAAAUUGAUCAACGAACCUAGUUACCCUGGGGAUAACAGCGCAAUCCAUUUCAAGAGCCCCUAUCGACAAAUGGGUUUACGACCUCGAUGUUGGAUCAGGGUAUCCCAGUGGUGCAGCCGCUACUAAAGGUUCGUUUGUUCAACGAUUUAAAACCCU
rnacentral:rRNA from 1 species